rnacentral:rRNA from 1 species
GGAGUCUGGGCCGUAUCUCAGUCCCAAUGUGUCCGUCCACCCUCUUAGGCCGGAUACCCAUCGUCGCCUUGGUGGGCCGUUACCUCACCAACAAGCUAAUGGGCCGCGGGCCACUCCUCCGGCGGUGCCGAAGCACCUUUCCUUCCUGUCCUCUGACAACAGAAAUCGUAUCAGGUAUUAUCUCCUAUUUCUAGGAGCUAUCCCGGUCCGGAGGGUAUGUCACCCACGUGUUACUCACCAGUCCGCCGCUCUAGGAUAUAGCAAGCUAUAUCUUACCGCUCGACUUGCAUGCUUAAGACGCGCCGCCAGCGUUCGUU